rnacentral:rRNA from 1 species
CACGUAGGAUCCAAGCGUUAUCCGAAUUUACUGGGCGUAAAGCGCGUGCAGGCGGUUUGGCAAGUUGGAUGUGAAAGCUCCUGGCUCAACUGGGAGAGGCCGUUCAAAACUACCAGACUAGAGGACAGUAGAGGAAGAUGGAAUUCCCGGUGUAGUAGUGAAAUGCGUAGAUAUCGGGAGGAACACCAGUGGCGAAGGCGAUCUUCUGGACUGUAUCUGACGCUCAGACGCGAAAGCUAGGGUAGCGAAUGGG